AGGAGUCAAGGAAACCACAGAGCAACUGCCUACCCACUUCACUUGUGUUACAUGCAAGCAGAGAAUGACAGAGCCCAGCUUUGGACUGAUGCGAUCUCUCACAUUGGUCCUCUCCCAUCAUAGUGUCUGAAGCACAGAUACACGCACGCGCGCGCGCGCGCGCGCGCGCGCACACACACACACACACACACACACACACACACACACACUGCCCUUUACCUCCAUGAUGAUGAUGUGAUUUCCCAUUGCUUAUCUCUGGGUAUUUUGCCUCUCGCCAUGUUGCUCCCCUUAAUUCUACCCACAUCAUUCUGAUCCUUCUUUAUAUGAAUUUCAAUUUUACUCUUCUGGGUGGGGACCCUGUUCUCCUAGAACCAUGGCUGGUGCAGUGUUUCUAUGAAUAAGCCAGGAGGAUGUAGAUGAACUCGCUCUGCAUUAGGGAGUCCCUAGUGAGGGCUCCAGACCUUCCUUAUAUCACAUUUUCAUCUCUCAUUCAGAGCCACUGCUUACUUCAUUAUCAGUUUGAGCACGUUGGUCAGUCAUCGUAAUUAUAAGCUCUGUGAGGCUUGGGGUGAUGUUUGUCUUGUGCUCUAUGCCAUGCCUCAUGCUGUGACCUUUAUGGCAAUUUUUAAAAAAAUUUAUUCAUCAAUAGAAUGCAACACUUAGUUGAGUGACCACUACAUGUCUGAAGUAAAUGGUCAUCACAUCAUCAACACUCCUGUGUAGACAAUACAAGUAUUUUAGAUUAGACACACUUUUCCAUUUUUAGUGAUUUAUGGGAGCUCAUAUCCUAACCACCUAGUUCAUAAAACAACUUAGCAUUUAUAGUUCACGUUAUAAACUAUACAAAAGGGACUUCGGUGAAGCUCUAUUUUAGCGUCUGGCGACAAAAAUGUUGUUUCCUUUCUAAAAGUGGGCAAACCACCAACACAAAAGGAACGUAAAAGGCUAUGAUUAUCUAGUGAGAGGGCACAGUUGGCUUUGAGUCUAAGACUCCCGACUCUGGCUAGUUUCGUUCCCACUGAACAACAUUCCUGAGCCAUGUAGCAAAUCACAAGACCGGCCUGUCUUAGCUGACAGCCGAGGCUUAAAAGGCACCAUAGAAAACCGCCCUGUGGCAGUGCUGUGCUCAGAGCUAAAGCAGCCAAGGGCCUUUCAGAAAGAACUAUAAACAGUCGUGAUCAAGGGGAAACAUUGAAUGUUCUUCAACCAAGCUUUACUCUCUCAACUCACCCUCAGAAUCCGAUUGAAGUCUUCCUUGUCAACUCUUAGGAAGUGACAAUUAUCUUCCCGAAGAACAAUGGAUGCAGCUCUCGGAGCAUCGUUCACCAGAGCUAACUUGCCAAAGUCAUCUCCCUCAUGCAGGGUGCAGACCACACCCUGGGGAGAGCAGGACAGUCAGGAAAAAAAAAAGGGACCAAAAACCCUCCUUCCCCUCCCCUGCCACCAAACACCGUGCCUGUGAGUGGACUGCAUUAGUGUUAUAAUCAGAUUAAAAUGCUUCAUAUUUCUUUCACAGAAUAAACACAGUCAAUGAA
rnacentral:sRNA from 1 species